rnacentral:rRNA from 1 species
CAGUCGCCGCGGGAAUACGUAGGGUUCAAGCGUUAAUCGGAAUUACUGGGCGUAAAGCGUGCGCAGGCGGUUAUAUAAGACAGAUGUGAAAUCCCCGGGCUCAACCUGGGAACUGCAUUUGUGACUGUAUAGCUAGAGUACGGCAGAGGGGGAUGGAAUUCCGCGUGUAGCAGUGAAAUGCGUAGAUAUGCGGAGGAACACCGAUGGCGAAGGCAAUCCCCUGGGCCUGUACUGACGCUCAUGCACGAAAGCGUGGGGAGCAAACAGGAUUAGAUACCCGUGUAGUCCCUGUCUCUUAUAC